ensembl:snRNA
AAAAUGGGCAUCUGUCGUGAGCGGCCCACGCAGGGCAGCUUAAUUGCUCUGCGUGCGGAAUCGACAUCAAGAGAUUGCGGAAGCAUAGUUUUUUUGGUACCUGGGGAGCUGGUGAUCAUUGGUCCUGGAGCCCCA